AUUGAACGCUGGCGGCAGGCCUAACACAUGCAAGUCGAGCGGAUGAAGGGAGCUUGCUCCUGGAUUUCGCGGCGGACGGGUGAGUAAUGCCUAGGAAUCUGCCUGGUAGUGGGGGAUAACGUCCGGAAACGGGCGCUAAUACCGCAUACGUCCAGCGGGAGAAAGUGGGGGAUCUUCGGACCUCACGCUAUCAGAUGAGCCUAGGUCGGGUUAGCUAGUUGGUGGGGUAAAGGCCUACCAAGGCGGCGAUCCGUAACUGGUCUGAGAGGAUGAUCAGUCACACUGGAACUGAGACACGGUCCAGGCGCCUACGAGAGGCAGCAGUGGGGAAUAUUAGACAGUGGGCGAAAGCCUGAUCCAGCCAUGCCGCGUGUGUGAAGAAGGUCUUCGGAUUGUAAAGCACUUUAAGUUGUGAUGAAGGGCAGUAAGUUAAUACCUUGCUGUUUUGACGUUACCAACAGAAGAAGCACCGGCUAACUUCGUG
rnacentral:rRNA from 1 species